CAGUGGUACCUCUACUUACGAACUUCAUAGAAAAUUUUCAAGUUACAAAACACCUUAACAGGAAAAUAUUGUCAAUCGUUACGAAAGAAAUUACAAGAUCCGAAAGGUAAAAAUACAGUAGGGGACGACACUCGAAGUCGGACGGACACGUUUUUCUGCCAAUCUGUGUUUCCAUUUUUAUCCAAAUAUACUUUUUGCGACAAC